GGAAGUAAAAGUCAUAACAAGGUUUCCGUAGGUGAACCUGCGGAAGGAUCAUUACGUAUUUUUAGGCCGGUCUGACCGGUUCUAUUUAACCCUGUUUUUUGCGUACCCUUUGUUUCCUCGGCAGGCUUGCUUGCCGGUUGGACAUUUCAACUCCAAUGUUAGCAAUCAGCGUCAAAAUAAAAAAUACAAUCGUAACAACUUUCAACAACGGAUCUCUUGGUUCUG
rnacentral:misc_RNA from 1 species